rnacentral:rRNA from 1 species
CCUACGGGAGGCAGCAGUGAGGAAUAUUGGUCAAUGGCCGUAAGGCUGAACCAGCCAAGUAGCGUGAGGGAAGACUGCCCUAUGGGUUGUAAACCUCUUUUAUGCGGGGAUAAAGGUGUCCACGUGUGGUUCAUUGAGAGUACCCGAAGAAAAAGCAUCGGCUAACUCCGUGCCAGCAGCCGCGGUAAUACGGAGGAUGCGAGCGUUAUCCGGAUUUAUUGGGUUUAAAGGGUGCGCAGGCGGAGGUGCAAGUCAGCGGUCAAAUUGCGGGGCUCAACCCCGUACUGCCGUUGAAACUGCAUCCCUUGAGUGCGCGAGAAGUAUGCGGAAUGCGUGGUGUAGCGGUGAAAUGCAUAGAUAUCACGCAGAACUCCGAUUGCGAAGGCAGCAUACCGGCGCGCAACUGACGCUCAUGCACGAAAGCGUGGGUAUCGAACAGGAUUAGAUACCCCAGUAGUC